GCCGUAGCUUAGUGGUAGAUUGUCUGCUUUGAAUGCAGAAGGUGUCCUGGGUACCAUCUCCAGGUGGGACU